rnacentral:rRNA from 1 species
GACGAACGCUGGCGGCGUGCUUAACACAUGCCAGUCGAACGGAAAGGCCCUGCUUUUGUGGUGUGCUCGAGUGGCGAACGGGUGAGUAACACGUGAGUAACCUGCCCUUGACUUUGGGAUAACUUCAGGAAACUGGGGCUAAUACCGGAUAGGAGCUCCUGCUGCAUGGUGGGGGUUGGAAAGUUUCGGCGGUUGGGGAUGGACUCGCGGCUUAUCAGCUUGUUGGUGGGGUAGUGGCUUACCAAGGCUUUGACGGGUAGCCGGCCUGAGAGGGUGACCGGCCACAUUGGGACUGAGAUACGGCCCAGACUCCUACGGGAGGCAGCAGUGGGGAAUAUUGCACAAUGGGCGGAAGCCUGAUGCAGCAACGCCGCGUGCGGGAUGACGGCCUUCGGGUUGUAAACCGCUUUCGCCUGUGACGAAGCGUGAGUGACGGUAAUGGGUAAAGAAGCACCGGCUAACUACGUG